rnacentral:rRNA from 1 species
GUGGGGAAUAUUCCGCAAUGGACGAAAGUCUGACGGAGCAACGCCGCGUGAGUGAUGAAGGUUUUCGGACUGUAAAGCUCUGUUGUUUGGGACGAAAGUGCCUGUUGCGAACAGUUACGGGUAUUGACGGUACUAAACGAGGAAGCCACGGCUAACUACGUGCCAGCAGCCGCGGUAAUACGUAGGUGGCAAGCGUUGUCCGGAAUUAUUGGGCGUAAAGAGCAUGUAGGCGGGAAUCUAAGUCUGUUGUUAAAAUGUGGGGCUCAACCCCGUAUUGCGAUGGAAACUGGGUUUCUUGAGUGCAGGAGAGGAAAGGGGAAUUCCCAGUGUAGCGGUGAAAUGCGUAGAUAUUGGGAGGAACACCAGUGGCGAAGGCGCCUUUCUGGACUGUGUCUGACGCUGAGAUGCGAAAGCCAGGGUAGCGAACGGGAUUAGAAACCCCGGUAGUCC